rnacentral:rRNA from 1 species
CCCUUAGAUGUUCUGGGCCGCACGCGUGCUACACUGAGUGGAUCAGCGGGUCAGGUUGCGCGAAAGUGUUUCCUAAUCUUGAAAUCCGCUCGUGAUGGGGAUUGACGGUUGCAAUUUUCCGUCAUGAACGAGGAAUACCUUGUAAGCGCGGGUCAUCAUCCCGCGCUGAAUACGUCCCUGCCCUUUGUACACACCGCCCGUCGCUCCUACCGAUUGAGUGGUCCGGUGAGGCUUUGGGAUUUGCUUUGCUUUCGUUUGUUCGAUGCUCGGCGAAGAACUUGAGUAAACCUUACCGUUUAGAGGAAGGUGAAGUCGUAACA